UACAGAGGGGGCAAGCGUUGUUCGGAAUUACUGGGCGUAAAGGGCGCGUAGGCGGCCUGUUAAGUCGAACGUGAAAUCCCCGGGCUCAACCCAGGAACUGCGUCCGAUACUGGCAGGCUUGAAUUCGGGAGAGGGAUGUGGAAUUCCAGGUGUAGCGGUGAAAUGCGUAGAUAUCUGGAGGAACACCGGUGGCGAAGGCGGCGAUCCUGGACCGAUAUUGACGCUGAUGCGCGAAAGCCAGGGGAGCAAAGCGGG
rnacentral:rRNA from 1 species